rnacentral:lncRNA from 1 species
AGACGCGCGUGCAUACGUCAUGCGCCAGACAAGCCGCAGGAGUGAGCGAGGCCGGCUGCGCAUGUGAAGCUCGCGUGCUCGGCGACCCGUCUCUUUUGGAUGCAGCCCGUUUUUUUGGGCUCCCGGCGUUCUCUUUUGUUCCGUCUGCAUUUCGACACGGCACCGCUGCACUACUGGACUACAGCAAGCUGAUGGCAUCCGGUGGAGCAUCGUACUGCAACGACUGCUGCUUACCUGGUGCCGCAACUUUGGAUGAAUGCAGAAGCCCGGAACGAGCAUUUAUAUAGAGCAAAAUAAACAUUUCUUCAUUUCAGAA